rnacentral:rRNA from 1 species
GAGUUUGAUCCUGGCUCAGGACGAACGCUAGCGGCGUGCCUAAGAAAUGCAAGUCGAGCGAGGUUAGAGACUUCGGUUUCGAAGCCUAGCGGCGAACGGUCGCGUAACACGUAAGCAACCUGCCCUGAAGUGGGGGAUAGCCCUCCGAAAGGAGGAUUAAUACCGCAUGUGGACACUUUCCCGCAUGAGAGAGUGUCUGAAGCAGCAAUGCGCUUCAGGAUGGGCUUGCGGCCUAUCAGCUAGUUGGUGGGGUAAUGGCCUACCAAGGCGACGACGGGUAGCUGGUCUGAGAGGAUGGUCAGCCGGACUGGGACUGAGAUACGGCCCAGACUCCUACGGGGGGCAGCAAUUAGGAAUCUUGCGCAAUGGGCGAAAGCCUGACGCAGCGACGCCGCGUGACUGAUGAAGUCUUUCGGGAUGUAAAGGUCUUUUUUGGGGGAAGAAGGAUGUGACGGUACCCCAAGAAUAAGCCCCGGCUAACUACGUGCCAGCAGCCGCGGUAAUACGUAGGGGGCGAGCGUUGUCCGAAUUCACUGGGCGUAAAGCGCGCGUAGGCGGGUUAUUAAGUUGAGGGUGAAAUGCCGAGGCUCAACCUCGGAACUGCCUUCAA